rnacentral:rRNA from 1 species
UACGGAGGGUGCAAGCGUUAUCCGGAUUUACUGGGUUUAAAGGGUGCGUAGGAGGGCAGGUAAGUCAGUGGUGAAAUCUUCGAGCUUAACUCGGAAACUGCCGUUGAUACUAUCUGUCUUGAAUACCGUGGAGAUGAGCGGAAUAUGUCAUGUAGCGGUGAAAUGCUUAGAUAUGACAUAGAACACCAAUUGCGAAGGCAGCUGGCUACACGAGUAUUGACACUGAGGCACGAAAGCGUGGGGAUCAAACAGG